rnacentral:rRNA from 1 species
UACGUAGGGGGCAAGCGUUGUCCGGAAUCAUUGGGCGUAAAGAGCGUGUAGGCGGCCCGAUAAGUCCGCUGUGAAAGUCCAGGGCUCAACCCUGGGAUGCCGGUGGAUACUGUCGGGCUCGAGUCCGGAAGAGGAGUGUGGAAUUCCUGGUGUAGCGGUGAAAUGCGCAGAUAUCAGGAGGAACACCAAUGGCGAAGGCAGCUCACUGGGACGAUACUGACGCUGAGACGCGAAAGCGUGGGGAGCAAACAGG